rnacentral:rRNA from 1 species
GAUGAACGCUGGCGGCGUGCUUAACACAUGCAAGUCGAACGGAAAGGCCCAAGCUUGCUUGGGUACUCGAGUGGCGAACGGGUGAGUAACACGUGGGUGCUCUGCCCUGCACUUCGGGAUAAGCCUGGGAAACUGGGUCUAAUACCGGCUAGGACCACUUCUUGGAUGUUGUGGUGGAAAGUUUUUUCGGUGUGGGAUGAGCUCGGGGCCUAUCAGCUUGUUGGUGGGGGCAUGGCCUACCAAGGCGUCGGCGGGUAGCCGGCCUGAGCGGGUGUACGGCGACAAUCGGCAUGAGAUACGGCCCAGACUCCUACGGGAGGCAGCAGGGGGGAAUAUGGCACAAUGGGCGCAAGCCUGAUGCAGCGACGCCGCGUGGGGGAUGACGGCUGUAGGGUUGUAAACUCCUUUCGCUAGGGACGAAGCGUUUUUGUGACGGUACCUGGAGAAGAAGCACCGGCUAACUACGUG